rnacentral:lncRNA from 1 species
GCCUGUGGUACAUAUAUUUAACGAGAGUAGCCUCCCCUCCAUUAGCCCAUGUGCUUAGGAGAGUGGAUAAUUAAAAUUGCAGGUGGCGAAGUAUCAAUUUUAUUUACUUAAAUCCUGUCACAGAGGCUGUUCUCUUCAUGUCAGAGAUGCCCUCCUGGCUUGGAAUUGCUGUGUUCGUUGACGACUCGCAUGUCUCCUGGCUAUCCGCUCGAUGCUCUUCAAGUGGCAUAUGACCGAUGUUUUGUCACGUACCCCAGCUCCCACAGCUGUACAUCUUUGAAUGACCGAACUUGAAAACCCACUGUUCAGCAUAUGCACGGCACUGUGUAUGCGGCUGGUGAAAUUUCUAUGAUAUUUUGCUCUGGGAUGACUGUAAUCCGGACACGGCACGGGAAUCGCCAUCAGUCGUGAAGAAUCCAAUCGUGAGUGGAGAGACGUCUGAUGAGAAGUCACUUGAACACUGAGCUGCAGAAUGUUCUUCGUCUCCUAUUGUGUCGUCAAGCCGGAGAUUUGCUGUACAGGAACUCGCCUGCCUGUGUACCACCUCCAGUUGAGAUCCGUGUUGGUCGGAGAAGUCUAAUGUCACUGGGAAUUCCAUCCGCAUCCUUGACGAUGUAUGACUGUCUAUCACAAUGGUGUACCACAGCGUUGAACUCUUCUUGACUAAGUCUCUUGGUAACUGGUAUGUUGUCACCUUCAGGCUUAAGACACUUUGUUUUAGUAACACCUAUAGUUCUUUUGAACAGACAUUGGUGUCCCUUUUGAAAGGCACCCUUGUUGUGCAGGUUUUCUGUUGGAUUUUUCUUUGGCUUCAUUGUUAGCACACUGGGUGUGGUAUAUUCUCUUAGUAUAAGGAAAAGUUGUGAACUUUUGUAUCUCUUAGCAUGUAGCAGUCUUCAGCGGAAUGGAACCUGUGGUGUGUGUUAUGUUAAUAAAUACUCUCAUGCAGUAAACUGAUGCGUGUUCUGUUUUG